UUUAAGCAUAUCACUCAGUGGAGGAAAUGCAAGCAACAGCGAUUGCUGCAGUAACGGCGAGUGAAUGGGCAACACAUGAUCUCUUCCCGAAGUGAAUCCCUACCGCACUGCUAUGCAGAUGCGUUCGGCUCUCGUGGGUUUCAGCAGAUGCUGUGGGCUGUGGAGUGGAUGGCUGUGUGCCGACUGAUCAUGCACCAGGAAGCGACCUGGAAUGGUCCACGAUACAGGGAUACUGUCCCAUACUGGUGCUGUGUGUGUGAUCAUAGGCAUGUGGCUGUCUGCAUCCAGGAGUAGAGUGGCUUGGGACUGCAGUUUGAAGUGCAAGGUGUAUCCAUUGCAAGGAAGCAUACUGACAUGGGACCGAUAGCGCACAAGUAGAGUGAUUGAAGGAUGCAAAGGACUUUGCAAAGAGGGUUAAAAGUCCCUGAAGCCUUGGCAGGAACGGCGGAAAGUGGUGCUGUGGUGUCUGGUCUGUGGGACCAUCAGCUAUGCCCCCUCCAGGCAUUGGCUGGUGGACAGCCACCCACGACCAACUGCUUGCUGGACUCCAGCCUGCAGUGAUGUUGGACUAUCCAAGUGACCUUGGGUCAGCCCCUAGCUGGUCACUGAGCCCUUUCCACACCAGGAUUGGAUGCAAUCGUGGCAGCCCAUUGGGUGACACCCUGCCUGUCGGGACCUGAGGUUUGCAGAGAUAUCUCCAGUGGAUCACAAUGAUUUGAUGAGCAACAACCCACAACACAGUCUCCAGAGUCACAACCAGGUGCUUGGCACAGGCAGUUGCCACAGGUGGACCCUCUGUUGAGGCGUGGAUCAAGUGCCUUGCCAGCACUGGUGUGUGUGUGUGAUGAGGACAGUCUGUCUUGUCUGGUGUAGCCUGAGAACCAAGAGUGAUGAUACACCUGCCCACCACAAUGUGGUGAGGCAGCAGUGUUGGUGCAAGGAUUUGCCAAAUCCUAGUGUUGUCUGCGGACAUCCUAGGUGUGCUGUGCCUGGGCAUGGAUCAGGGGCUGGUGGAUGCAUGGUGACUGCACCACUCUGAUGGUGGUUCCUGUGUGAUCACUGGUCCCCCAGACAGUGCACAGUGCCAAGGCAGCUGAGCUUGGUGCAGCAGCGCUACUCUCUGCCCGUCUUGAAACACGGACCAAGGAGUCUAUGGAGCUUGCAGGUUUGCUGGUGAUUAUGUAAACCACAGGGCGUGGUGAAGGCAAACAUCCCAGAUGGUGCACACUUGUGCUUGUGAGAGAGACUCUCUCUGAUUGGAAGGUGAUGAUGGGUGCUAUCCAAAAGGCACCUCCCAGAGGGCUUGCUUGACCAAACUGGGCAUGUGGAAUCAGCUGUGCCUGCAGUCUGGUCUGGAAGUGGGCUCUGGGCAUGCACAUACCCUGUGCAUGUGAUCCACCAACCAUGAAAGGGUGUAGUACUACAGCCUUGCUUGCUAAGCUUGUGUGAAUUGCUCUGCAUGGGACACCGGUCCCGAAGUCCAGUGGACAGGGUUCUGAGUGAUUGCAUGGUCCAUGGGACCCGAAAGGUGGUGAACUAUACCGUUCUAUGUCGAAGCCGUGGGAAACUGCGGUGGAGGACAGUCGCUGUUCUGACGUGCAAAUUGUGUAGCCUGAGGGCGGCAUAGGGGUGAAAGGCCAAUCGAACCACCUAGUAGCUGGUUUCCUUCAAGUUUCCCUCAGGAUAGCUGGGUUCAAAUGCAACACCACCACUCCAAGUGGUUACGUCCGGUAAAGCAACGCAUGAGAGGCGCCUGCUGGGAGGCUUUCCCUCCUGGACCUAUUCUCGAACUGUGAAUGGGCGUGGCAACACCCCAAAAGGCAUGCUUCUUCACUGGUGCUGGAGUCCAUCUCACCAUGGUUCUCCUGGCUUCUGAGCGUGUUUGUGGUCUGGCAACCCCUACCACACCAGAGUUGAUGAUGAUCAUUGGAGCCAACCACCCAUGGUGAUGAUACCCUCUGAGCCUGUGUUCCCCCCUCUGCCUGCCUGGGUGAGGUGUGUGUCUCUGUGAUGCCAUCCCCCAGCAGCAGCAGCAGCAGUGUGGGUCAUUGUGCCAGGGUGGUCCCUCAUCAACCAUCAGAUCCAUGUGAAAGUCUCUCUGUCCCACAACUCUGCCUCCUGGCAGAUCUGAGAUAUGAUGGUUGCUGUCAUGGUGAACAGACGUGCCUAUGUGGACCAAGAUUGGUAAGCAGUGCUGGUGAUGCGGGGUGCUCCGAGAGUGGACUUACAGAUCCAGAGUGCUGGCUCAUACCCAGAUCCCACAAAGGAUGUUGCUUGCUAGGGAUAGCAGGACGGUGGCCAUGAAGGUUGGAACCCGCUAAGGAAUGUGUAACAACUCACCUGCCGAAGCGUGCAGCUCCGAAAAUGGAUGGAGCCCAAGUCAGUGAAGCUGAAUUUGCCUAUACAGUCCACCGCUGCUGUGGCAGCCAAGCAGAGCAUCAGCGUGUAGAAAGGACAUGGGAGACUGCAGCAACAGUUGGGGUUGCCCCUGACUGAAGUGUCUUCUGGUGCAGAUCUUGGUUGUAGUAGCGAAUACUCCAUCGGGUGAAGAGCAGAAUAACCCUGCUGUGUGCGGUUGAGGACAGGAGUGGAGCAGGUUUCCGCACCAAACAGCCGUUGAAUGCGGGUCAGCCGACCGUGAGUCAAGUGGUAAUUCACCGAACAACCAAAGCUGCCAUUGCCCAUUGGAUGUGUGAGUGUGAGGGGCAACAACCAGGUGCCCACCAAGCUGGUGAUGAACUGGAGCAGAGGAACCAAAGGGAUGCCUUGAGAGAGAGCAGCAGCAUUGUGGGGUCAGUCUGACUAGCCAACAGCACCCCCGACAGCAAGGGAGAGUUGCACACCGGUGUAAGGGUCAUUGCCACCCACACCAAGCAUCCUCCAGCAGUGGGCAACCAAGCAUCACCCUGAUGAUGCCCUUGCUGUCAGCUUGAUUGGGACAACUGCCUCUCCUCACAUCUCUCUCCACUCUCCACACCAUGCUUGUGGAACCAGCAUCUGGGAGCUAUACCCAAGCACCAUGCUCUGGUGGUGCCUGGCAGGAGUGGCAAACAGGCAAGCAAGUGCAACAUUCUGCUGUGAUGGGCUUGAGGUUCUCUGGUGGUGACACCAUUGUGACUGGAACAAGCAGGCUUAGGGGCAGUGCACCCCCCGAGGAGUUAUCGUUUCCUCCUGAUGCAGGCACAUGUGGGCUAUCGAUUGGCAUGCCACAUGGUGGUGUAUGCCCUCCGCUCAGCAAGGCAGCAUAACAUCUGUGCUGGUGGUCUCAGAUUGCAUAUGGAACUGGCAGGAGCUCAGCAAGGAGAGCAUAUCACUCAGUGAGUUGCAGCUUUGUGAAGGCAAAUGUCAGCAGAGAAAAGAGCUAUCGGUGGUCACUGGCUCCAAGGAACAGCCUGUGGGACAACGUGCCUCUAGUCCCUGGUCCUCGUACUGAAUCACCGCAGCCGGUCUCCUCGGCUAGACGCCGCUUGUUGACGGACGAAAUGCAGCUAAGGGAAGUCGGCAAACUGGCCAUGUACCUUUGGAAGAUGUGGUGGCUCCAGAGGUCAAGUCGCUAGGUCCAGCUGUGGACUGUGUGGAGUGGAGGUGGCUGCUGCACUUGGUGGUCUCGGCCAUCGGGUGUGGAUUGGCUGCCUCUGCCAGCACCGUUUCUGUGGCUGGGGGUCAGACUGCCUUCGGGUAGCUCUGCACCCACCCUGGUGUCUAUGAAGUGACUCAUGUGGAACUGUUGCUGUGCAGGGGAAUCUGACUGUUUAAUUGAAACACAGCUUUGUGAUGGGUCCAGCUGGCUGGUCCCAUGAGGUGACUUCUGCCCAGUGCUCUGAUUGUCAAUGCGAAGAGAUUCAGCCAAGCGCGGGUAAACGGCGGGAGUAACUAUGACUCUCUUAAGGUAGCCAAAUGCCUCGUCAACCAAUUAUUGACGCGCAUGAAUGGAUCAACGAGAUUCCUGCUGUCCCUAGUUGCCGUCUGGUGAACCAACAGCCAAGGGAACGGGCUU
rnacentral:rRNA from 1 species